UAGGCGUGAGGCGUGUCCUUCCCUUGCAGCAGGGAAGAUGCAGGGCUUCAGUGCCAUAUCAUAACUCCUUCUCGGGAGGCCGUCACGACCCGACCCACCAAAGUAGCAAGAGUGAACCUUGAGCCAACCGCACGCUCUGGCCCCGCCUGCUCAUCUACGCUUUGGUUGUCAUGGUGAGCCCGGGGCGCUGCAGUGGAGUCCGGAAGUCUCUGAGCAAGCAGUGCAAAGCUCGAGGUCCCGGGAGGCUCUCGUUGCUAUGGUGAUGACUCCGCGAGGGCCUCGUGCCAGCGUUAUCGGAGGACUGGAGGAGGGUCCAGACCCCGCCCCCGACGUCGGGAUUCGGGAGCUACGAGCCAGUCCCGCGAGGCCACUGUUGCUGUGGUGAUUUGCAGCGGCCUGCGCGCCGGAACCUGGUCUUUGCAGCUUGGUGAGUCCUCUCACCCUCCCGGCUGCAGACGCGUCCUGGAGGUUAUGGUCCUGAGGCUGUCAAGCCCCCUGCCCUCCACCUACCCCCAAGCCUGAGUGUGGCCUGCAGGCCUGGUCUUCCUCAGUGAGCGUCCAUCCUGGGCCAGGCCUCUGCAGGAGCCAGGUCAGAAGAGGACAGCAGAUUUAGGAGUGGUGGUGGGGUAGAUUCUGGGUGAUGUAGGGCAGGGAAAGUGGCUAGAACCUAAAUUCACUCAGAGACUCCAACAGACUAAGGGCAAGGGACCCCUCCCUACUCUAUUCCAUAGCCAGGAUUGGGUUUUGUAUGUUUGGUUUGGUUUUUGGAUUGUUUGUUUUUUUAAUACCUCCCACAUGCCAAGGAAGUGAAUGCAAAGAAGGAGCCCCUCUUCCUAGGCAUGGGGUCACCUCCCGACUCGGCAAGAUGGGGUAUGGGCUGCCCUUCCUCCACUGUGCUGCCUACAGCGUGAAUGGCCUCUGCCUAACAAUGGUGGUAGGGAUGGAGACCCAGAUAUGUUUUAAGUCACAGGUGCAUUUUGAGAACUUGUAUGGCUUCCUGGGUCUUGUUAAAAGACAAAUAUAACAAUUUUUGCCCUAAUUGACUCUGUGAAUGUAGAAUUGGGCAACACUUCAUCCUGUGAAAUAAACUUGAGUGUUGUCUUGUUUUGCUUGGCUCCGUUUGAGUCUCUUGGUGUGACAGGCUCUCAGUGUGUCAUGGAAGGACUCCGGAACCCAUCACCCUCCUGCCUCUGCUUCCCAAGUGCUGACUGUAUAGACCCGUAUCACGACUGCACGUGGGUAGGAGUUUGAUUUUAUAGACAGAAAAAGGAAGGAGAGUAAAAAUAGUAAAAAGCAAAUUGGUUAUUUCAAAGUUACUUCAAUUGGAGGAUAAUUCAUGCCAGCUCAGGUUGACUGGUCCCCUUGACUUCCCACAGAAGUCCCAAAGAUCUCUUGUUUUGUUGGAAAACUAGCCCAUUCAGAAUUCUGUUUGAUCAUGUGACACCUAGCAUAAUCUGUUCUAGUCCGACCGACUGGGCCAUAAUGCAGAAACUACGUCUUGCAUGUUUUAUGUAAUACUCUUUACCCCACUGAUUGAGUCUGCAGAACACUGGAAGAAUGAGGUCCUCUUGGACCCCUUUGGGGCCCCCUGUGAGCCAGGACCGCAUCAUCACCAGCUUCCCUAAGUGGUACACGCCGGAUGCCUGCCUGCAGCUCAAAGAGCACUUCCACAGCCGCGUCAGCACAGCCUGCCAGCACAGGAACACAGGCACUGCUGGGCUCAGACUCUCCAAGGUGGUGGUCGUUGGCGAUCUCUACGUGGGAAAGACUAGCCUCAUUCACAGGUUGUGCAAGAAUGUUUUCGACCAUGAUUACAAGGCCACGAUCGGCGUGGACUUUGAAAUCGAGCGCUUUGAGAUCGCAGGGAUUCCCUACAGCCUCCAGAUCUGGGACACAGCCGGGCAGGAGAAGUUCAAGUGUAUUGCGUCUGCCUACUACCGCGGUGCCCAGGUGAUCAUCACAGCCUUUGACCUCACUGACGUGCAGACUCUGGAACAUACCAGCUCCUUCUGGUCCCACGGAGGCCCUCUGACUCCAGCCCCAGCGUCCCAGCCAAGUCAGUGUAGGUCAGGGUACCAUCCCUGUUCCUCCUGGCUACGUGCAAGUCUCUUGUUUCCCCUCUGUGCACUCCAGGCAGUGGCUGGAGGACGUGCUGAGGGAGAAUGAGGCAGGCUCCUGCUUCAUCUUCCUCGUGGGAACCAAGAAGGAUCUCCUGUCGGGGGCAGCGUGCGAGCAAGCGGAAGCUGAGGCUGUGCAUCUGGCCAAUGAGAUGCAGGCAGAGUACUGGUCUGUGUCAGCUAAGACGGGAGAGAAUGUGAAGGCAUUCUUCAGCCGCGUCGCCGCCCUAGCCUUUGAACAGUCUGUACUUCAGGACCUAGAGAAGAGGCCCAGCACCCAGUCCCAGGUCGGAGAUGGAGAUGGAGACCUAAUACGAAUAGAGGUACCCAAAACCCAGGAGAACAAGAGGCCGCCCGGCCUAGGCUGCUGUUAACCGUGGCCAGAAUCAGAGCCAUCUACAGGAUGACUGGAGCCCAGGCUCUACAGCGGAUAUGCCUUCAAGCUGGAGAAGCCUCGUGUCUUCAGAGCCCAGCCAUUUUGCUUUAGCCGGUCAGCAGCCACUGGCUGCUGAAGCCCCAUACUGCCCGGUUGGUUGAUGGGUGCCAGCAUGAGCCUUCCCUAUAGGGUCUUCAGAUGGUUGUUGUGUUCUUAAGAGGCCUCAAGACUGCAAACUCGGGACACCUCAGGGCUAGCCCACACCCCUUACCCAAUCAUACCAACAGCUGUGGAGCCCUUUCCUGGCGGAGCCUCUGGGGUCUCUGAACCCUCAUCUCCAUGUUCCAAGCACCGAGACUUGUCAGAGGAAGCGAGUAAAACUAAAAUGCUCUCCCACCUGGAGUUCUCUGUCAUCACGAAGGCAUGGAGUUCUAGGCCUUUCAGCUUCAAACCUGGCUCUCCCAGGACUCUGGAGCUCCAUCCACUGCUAAGCACAAUGGACAAAGUCCGUUUGGCCCCUCUGGCAGAGUCCCGCCCCCAUCUCUGAGAUUCCCGUGGUUCUGCUAUUAGUGGGUCAGAAGGUGGACCUCUGGCUCAUCACUGUGACCAUCCGAGGGAUGGAGAUUGCAUGGUGACCUUUGGAGCCUCACGAGAGGAAUCACUGUGACCAUGCUGAGAGAUGACAAUGCCUGGUGUCCCUUUGGCAACUCAUUCCGCAUCCCUGAGCCUGAUACUGUCCUGUGUUUUACCUAUGGCCAUCCCUGCUGGCCUACCGUGUGUCUGUCCAGCUGGCCUGUGUGUCUCUCGGGACCUUGGCAUUGGGCCACCUAUCUCUGGAGGACUUGGGACACGCAGAAUCUAGCAUGCCUAGCUCCUUUCUGCACAUCCGCAGGAGCACUGCGCCCUAUGUGGCCCAGGGUCUUCCCAAUCCCCUCUCCUACUCUGUAUUCCUGUAGCUCUGGGUCCAGACCCACAUACCCAUCUUUCUCCUGCCAUAAGAGGGUGGGAACACCCAGCAUUCCUAUCUGCUGUCCCCUCCCCCAAGACAGGGUCUCAUGUAGUCCAUGCUGGCUUCCAACUCCAUAUGUAGCUGAGGCUUACCUUGGAUUUUAUUUACCGUCCAUCUCCCAAAUGCUAGAAUUAGAGAGAUGUACCACCAUACCUAGCAACACCUGCUUACCGAGGAUGGUGAGCAUCUGCAGGCAGCCAUGUUGGUCCAUGCCUUUUUUCUAAGUGCCUGGCAUACCACACCUUUCUAUGACUGUUCAUUAACUCAGCAGUGGCCAAACAUCAGAGAGCGCUGACCUAUCUCCCUGUUCGAUACAGCAUUCUUUAGCCUUGUUUUAGUGAGCCCUCUCUCCCUCUCCACUGCCCACCCCACUCUGAAACAUUGUGUCACUAUGUAUACUAAGCUGGCCUUGAGAUUGCAGCAGCCCCCUGCCUCUGCCUCCCAAGAGCUGGGGUUAUAGACGUGAAGCUCAUAUUUGGCUUAAGGUCUUUUAUUCUAAAAAGUAUAUAAAACAUCUCUUUAAAGGAUUCAAUGUUUGGUAUUAAACAAGGUGGUAGAGCAUUAAAAAAAAAAAAUGAAAAUACUUCUGCCCUGAAGUUAGUUGUACUCUCGGAGUUGAACAUGGUUAACAGUUGAUAAAAAUUCCUUCUGUGCUCUCCUUCCCCAGCCCGCCCUGUGUGCAAACCCCCAUGCUGGCUUGUUUCUCCGAGUGUCCUUGUACUGUGCACACUGCCUGAUGGGCCACCUGCCCAGUCAUCUGCCCUGAUCUCUCCCUGUGAGUGCAUGCCAGGCCUUCCCAUACUUAGCAAAACAUGUGGUUUCCUUAGUGCCGAUAGACUGUGGCCCACUUGCGUUCCUUAUCUACUGGCUGGCCAGCCGGCAGGUUUGUGUCUGCUGUUGUUAGCUUUCCCCUGUGGCACUUUAGGAUUUCCACAGAAGGUCUUUGUGGGCUCUCCUCUGGACUGUGGUCCCUUCCCUGAUCCAUGAAGACAGGGCCUGUUAGGGACAGGCUACAUUGUUGUUGCAGCCCAGAAGGUUAGGGCUUAGUGGUCGCCUGAUGCCUGUCUUCCUCCUAGGUCCUGGGAUGGUGAUGGGAAAGGGAUGAUAAUGUGUCCUCCUGUCAUGAGCUCCAGAGCCAGAAGUAACUGUUUUUCACACCCCCACAUCCCUGGAGAUCACCCAUUAUUAAACUCUCCUCAUGUUUUCCA